ACUUUCAACAACGGAUCUCUUGGUUCUCGCAUCGAUGAAGAACGUAGCGAAGUGCGAUAAGUAGUGUGAAUUGCAGAUUCCGUGAAUCAUCGAGUCUUUGAACGCAAAUUGCACUCUCUGGUAUUCCGGAAAGUAUGCCUGUUUGAGGGUC
rnacentral:rRNA from 1 species